AACGUAGGUGACAAACGUUAUCCGGAGUUACUGGGCGUAAAGGGCGUGCAGGUGGUCUGUUAAGUCUGGCGUGAAAGCUCUCGGCUAAACCGGGAGAGGUCGUUGGAUACUGGAUGACUAGAGGACGGUAGAGGCGUGUGGAAUUCCGGGUGUAGUGGUGAAAUGCGUAGAGAUCCGGAGGAACACCAGUGGCGAAGGCGACACGCUGGGCCGUACCUGACGCUAAAGCGCGACAGCAUGGGGAGCAAACGGG
rnacentral:rRNA from 1 species